rnacentral:rRNA from 1 species
UACGAAGGGGGCUAGCGUUGCUCGGAAUCACUGGGCGUAAAGCGCACGUAGGCGGAUCGUUAAGUCGGAGGUGAAAUCCUGGAGCUCAACUCCAGAACUGCCUUCGAUACUGGCGAUCUUGGAGUCCGGGAGAGGUGAGUGGAACUCCGAGUGUAGAGGUGAAAUUCGUAGAUAUUCGGAAGAACACCAGUGGCGAAGGCGGCUCACUGGCCCGGUACUGACGCUGAGGUGCGAAAGCCAGGGGAGCAAACGGG